rnacentral:rRNA from 1 species
AGAGUUUGAUCAUGGCUCAGAGCGAACGCUGGCGGCAGGCUUAACACAUGCAAGUCGAGCGGGCGUAGCAAUACGUCAGCGGCAGACGGGUGAGUAACGCGUGGGAACAUACCUUUUGGUUCGGAACAACCCAGGGAAACUUGGGCUAAUACCGGAUAAGCCCUUACGGGGAAAGAUUUAUCGCCGAAAGAUUGGCCCGCGUCUGAUUAGCUAGUUGGUGAGGUAACGGCUCACCAAGGCGACGAUCAGUAGCUGGUCUGAGAGGAUGAUCAGCCACAUUGGGACUGAGACACGGCCCAAACUCCUACGGGAGGCAGCAGUGGGGAAUAUUGGACAAUGGGGGCAACCCUGAUCCAGCCAUGCCGCGUGAGUGAUGAAGGCCCUAGGGUUGUAAAGCUCUUUUGUGCGGGAAGAUAAUGACGGUACCGCAAGAAUAAGCCCCGGCUAACUUCGUGCCAGCAGCCGCGGUAAUACGAAGGGGGCUAGCGUUGCUCGGAAUCACUGGGCGUAAAGGGUGCGUAGGCGGGUCUUUAAGUCAGGGGUGAAAUCCUGGAGCUCAACUCCAGAACUGCCUUUGAUACUGAAGAUCUUGAGUUCGGGAGAGGUGAGUGGAACUGCGAGUGUAGAGGUGAAAUUCGUAGAUAUUCGCAAGAACACCAGUGGCGAAGGCGGCUCACUGGCCCGAUACUGACGCUGAGGCACGAAAGCGUGGGGAGCAAACAGGAUUAGAUACCCUAGUAGUCC